rnacentral:rRNA from 1 species
UACGAAGGGGGCAAGCGUUGUUCGGAAUUACUGGGCGUAAAGGGCGCGUAGGCGGCCGAUCAAGUCAGGCGUGAAAUUCCCGGGCUCAACCUGGGGGCUGCGCUUGAUACUGAUUGGCUUGAAUGCGGGAGAGGAUAGUGGAAUUCCCAGUGUAGAGGUGAAAUUCGUAGAUAUUGGGAAGAACACCGAUGGCGAAGGCAAUCCCCUGGACCUGUACUGACGCUCAUGCACGAAAGCGUGGGGAGCAAACAGG